ACUAAAGAAACUUUGAAAAAUACUCUUAUCUUAGGCACAUCAUUAAAAUAUCAACUUUGGCCAGAAGAUAGUUACAAUGGAGCAGAUCUUCUUGACUUGAAUAGAACAACUUUAUUGGACCUCAUUGUGCAAAUAUGUAAAUACAUUCCCAUUGAGGCACGAAAAUGGAUCUAGCCACAGCUCUGAUGAUAUUGCUUUGCCUUUAACAGUACCUCCCAUUAGUCUCUUGCACCAAGAUGCACAUUUUUCAGUUUACAUAGUGGAUUUCAUCAUUCUACUAGAAAGCCUCCACUUUGUUUCUGAUUCAGUUUCAGUUUCCAAACCAGGUGCUUUGUCCCUCACUGACUGUUUUGGAUGACCUCUAGUUUUUCCCCAAGGUUCUAAAUUUAGUUUGGCUUUUAUUUGGCCAUCAUUUUAAUUCCCACUUUUUGUUUUGGUGCUGUUGAUUGUACAAUCCAACCAUCUCU
rnacentral:lncRNA from 1 species